ensembl:lncRNA
GAAAAGUUCAUGGAGUCUGGCCAAGUUGAUACCAGCACACAAAAUAUUAGCUCUGAAGUUGGCUGUACUGGAGCAUGAGAAAUAUAUGCUUGUGUAACGAUGUAAAAGAAUGAAUAUGGUUUUGUUGUUGUUAAAUUCCUGUUAAACUUGGGAUCGCAACCAUGGGUUUAUUUUGGAACUUUUAUUUUGAAAACCCGCAGCGGAAGUCUGCUACUGGUAAACGGGCUACCCCCCUGUCUAUCGUUAGGAGCAAUGAAGCUUUCGCUGUGGUAAGUCCUCUCCGUCCGCUCUCACAGAGCAUGAGUUUAAAACAUAUUUUUUUAAAUCCUCAUCCAGAGAGUUUUAUUCGCACAGCGCUGGAAAGAGAAGCUGGCCAGGGGUUACACUUGUAAGUACGAUUAUAUUCUGUGUUCAUGUUAAGCAUGUGAUGUAAAAUGGGUUGUUGACUCUCAUAUUUGAAGCCGGCAUGUUAGCUGCAUUGCCGAUGCUAAUUCAUUGUGUGUUAGCAUCAAGCUAGCGGGAUUUGGAGUUAACAUGUUUUCAUUUAUUUGUCUUGGUUAUACCAGCUAUAGUUCAAGUUGCUAAGUCUUCAGUCUGUAUUUUGUAAUGUGAGAAAUAUAUUAUGUUCCAGAUGUAUGUUUUAAUAUGUUUUUCUUAUGUCUCUCCUUUUGAAGAACUGUUUAUCUAUCUGCCAAACUGGAACGUACAGGGAGGGCCGAACACACAUAAUACAGUAGCUGCUAAUGUGUUAACGAAAUGAAGCUCAACAGACCUGGCCUUGGAACUAGAUGAAGCUGUCUGUCACGGCGGGGUGCACACCCGAUGUGGAAACAGGACCCAAAGCAGAUGAUGACGAGGAGUAACAUCUACAGGAAGCGGUGCCUGAGGAAAGCGGGGAGGAUCAUCAAGGACUCCAGUUACCCCAGCCAUAAACUGUUCAGACUGCUUCCAUCAGGAAGGAGGUUCUGCAGCAUCCGGUCCCGUACCAGCAGACUGAGAGACAGCUUCUUCCAUCAGGCCAUCAGACUGCUGAACACGUCAUAGACACCUCAGCUUCACUACUGGAACUUCAACAUUAUGCACUCCACACUGUAUAUAAAUGCCACUUGUUUUGCACAUAUUCAACUCUGUAUAUUCUAUAUAUUUUAUUAUUAUUAUUAUUAUUUUUUAUUAUUUUUAUUUAUCUAUUUUUUACUAUUUAAUUUGUAAAAAUGUGUAUACACACACACACAGGAAAAUAUUUAGUAUACACAUCCAGAAAUGCAUACACUAUUAUAUAUUGUACAUACAGUGGGGCAAAAAAGUAUUUAGUCAGCCACCGAUUGUGCCCCCACUUAAAAUGAUGACAGAGGUCAGUAAUUUGCACCAGAGGUACACUUCAACUGUGAGAGACAGAAUGUGAAAAAAAAAUCCAUGAAUCCACAUGGUAGGCUUUGUAAAGAAUUUAUUCGUAAAUCUGGGUGGAAAAUAAGUAUUUGGUCAAUACCAAAAAUACAACUCAAUACUUUGUAACAUAACCUUUGUUGGCAAUAACAGAGGUCAAACGUUUACUAUAGGUCUUUACCAGGUUUGCACACACAGUAGCUGGUAUUUUGGCCCAUUCCUCCAUGCAGAUCUUCUCGCGAGCAAGCUCUUUGGUCUUGGCCAUGGCGGAGUUUGGAGUCUGACUGUUUGAGGCUGUGGACAGGUGUCUUUUAUACAGAUGAUGAGUUCAAACAGGUGCCAUUCAUACAGGUAACGAGUGGGGGACAGAAAAGCGUCUUACAGAAGACGUUACAGGUCUGUGAGAGCCAGAGAUUUUCCUUGUUUGAGGUGACCAAAUACUUAUUUUCCACCCUAAUUUACGAAUAAAUUCUUUACAAAUCCUACCAUGUGGAUUCAUGGAUUUUUUUUUUCACAUUCUGUCUCUCACAGUUGAAGUGUACCUCUGGUGCAAAUUACUGACCUCUGUCAUCAUUUUAAGUGGGGGAACUUGCACAAUCGGUGGCUGACUAAAUACUUUUUUGCCCCACUGUAUAUUUAUUAGUUUCAGGUUGGCCAUUCUUGUAUUUUGCUCGUUUGUGUUGUUGUGUUUGCACAUCUCUGUUGCUUGUGGGGCUCGCACACAAGAAUUUCACUCGCAUGUGCUGUGCCAGUGUGCCUGCACAUGUGAUGUGACAAUAAAAGUGAUUUGAUUUGAUUUGAUUUGAUUAUUCUUUGACAGACAACAGAGCACCAAUCAGGCUCUCCAGGGAAUCCCAACAGUCAACAGGACCCAAAUUCACCAUCAUACAUCCCUCUUGCUGUAGGCUGUAGAAUAGAUCUUUAGCUUGGUCUCAAGAGCCGAACAAGAAAUAUUGUCAUCAGUUAUAGUCAUGGUUGAAUUGGCUAUAGCCUCUGUCCAGGUCCACCUAAAGCAACAGGUAAAUCUCAUCUCAUUGUUAUUCUUUCAUCAUUGCGCAUGCUCACAUAGUUUUCAUCCUGGAUUUUAACUGCUGAUGAGUACUUAGUAACCAUCAGUAACUCCCUUUCACACAUAAAGAAAGGUGUCGGAAUAACAUACACGUUGAACCACAGACACAUAAGGAACAAUAGUCAUUGCAUCUUCAACACGACUAGUACCAGCUACAAGUUGUAUUCAGUUGUAUUAUUUUUGUGUUAUUUUCUCCCACAAAUUUGCACAUUUUUAUUUUUGAAGAAUUUGUGUUUUUGUAAGUUUUCUAUUGCUAAAAUCAGGUCAGUAUCUGCAA